UUAUUACUUAACAUUAUUGAAACCUUCAAAACAGGGUCAAUAAAUUCAAGAAGGAGACUACGAUUAACUCAGUUUAUAAUUCAGCAACAUUUGCUGGUCAAAACUGUAAUGGUAUAUAUGGAGAGUGGAAUGAAUUUCUCUCUCUCAAAAUAAACAAAUGAAUAUAAAAAAAAAUACAACAAAACUUGGGGCGCCUGGGUGGCUCAGUCGGUUAAGUGUCCGACUUCAGCUCAGGUCAUGAUCUUGUGGUUCACGAGUUCGAGCCCCGCGUCGGGCUCUGUGCUGACAGCUCAGAGCCUGAAGCCUGCUUCCAAUUCUGUGUCUCCCUCUCUCUCUGACCCUCCCCCCAUUCAUGUUCUGUCUCUGUCUCAAAAAUAAAUAAACGUUAAAAAAAAAAAUUAAAAAAAAACAAAAAACUAAAACAUUCCUCAUUUCCCUUUCCUUUGGCAUGAACGUUCUGUUUAGGGCAGUUAGCUCAUUCAUCCUCUCAACUUUCCUUUUCAAAACUGUUCUCAAUCAAACAAGAAACUACUCACAACAAACUCCAGUUAAAAUAAUCUUCUCAAAAGUCUUCCAUGAUCACAUCUCUCCACAGGGAGCCUGGCUUUUUGGGGUCUUUCCAAGCACAGACAAAUACAGGAUUGUCCUGAGAGACCAGAAACUUCUGGGGAGACUGGGUCACAGGAGACUCCAGCCUUUCCUAUAGUUAGCGUCACUCCUGGUUCUCCAGGAUGUUGUGCUCUUAGAGAAGUCUUCCCUGCCCAUCACCACUGCACAGCUCUCCAGGAGCAGUCAUCUAAUGGACAGGACUCACUCUCUGUAAAACUAGACUCACGUUCAAGGUCAGGACCUGACCUGUUAUCCGAAUGAACCUCCACCAGGUCUGUGUGGAGUCAGCCCCUGGAAGCUUACAUCCACUUAUCCAGUCUUCUGCUUCCAUCAGUAUGACAGGUCAGUGCCCUAACUUGCAGCUUUCUUGUCUCUAAUGUUCCUGGUGAUUUGCUGUGUGGUAUACCUCAAGGC
rnacentral:lncRNA from 1 species